CAUUGAGCCUUGAUGUGUAGGAUAGGUGGGAGGCUUUGAAGUGUGGACGCCAGUCUGCAUGGAGCCGGCCUUGAAAUACCACCCUUUAAUGUUUGAUGUUCUAACGUUGGCCCCUGAUCGGGGUUGCGGACAGUGUCUGGUGGGUAGUUUGACUGGGGCGGUCUCCUCCUAAAGAGUAACGGAGGAGCACGAAGGUUGGCUAAUCCUGGUCGGACAUCAGGAGGUUAGUGCAAUGGCAUAAGCCAGCUUGACUGCGAGCGUGACGGCGCGAGCAGGUGCGAAAGCAGGUCAUAGUGAUCCGGUGGUUCUGAAUGGAAGGGCCAUCGCUCAACGGAUAAAAGGUACUCCGGGGAUAACAGGCUGAUACCGCCCAAGAGUUCAUAUCGACGGCGGUGUUUGGCACCUCGAUGUCGGCUCAUCACAUCCUGGGGCUGAAGUAGGUCCCAAGGGUAUGGCUGUUCGCCAUUUAAAGUGGUACGCGAGCUGGGUUUAGAACGUCGUGAGACAGUUCGGUCCCUAUCUGCCGUGGGCGCUGGAGAACUGAGGGGGGCUGCUCCUAGUACGAGAGGACCGGAGUGGACGCAUCACUGGUGUUCGGGUUGUCAUGCCAAUGGCACUGCCCGGUAGCUAAAUGCGGAAGAGAUAAGUGCUGAAAGCAUCUAAGCACGAAACUUGCCCCGAGAUGAGUUCUCCCUGACUCUUUAAGGGUCCUGAAGGAACGUUGAAGACGACGACGUUGAUAGGCCGGGUGUGUAAGCGCAGCGAUGCGUUGAGCUAACCGGUACUAAUGAACCGUGAGGCUUAACCUU
rnacentral:rRNA from 1 species